UCGAGGGACAUCUCAUUGAAUUGAACAAUUAUAAGAAGGUGAUAGAUUCCUUAUUGUGCAUUCAUGUAUCUUCACACUCAUACAUAUGAACCCGAAUAUUACACUAUUAGGCCCUGCAAUCUCAUUGAGGGCUUUAAGGUGAAACUGAAGUUCAUAUCUAUAAAUAUAAGAUAAUUAUAUGCCUCAUGUUUAAGAACUAUUUGCAUGCUACAACCAGAAGCUUUGUAACAUUUGACAUGUUGUAUAAGCAUCUAUACGUUUAAGCUUCUUGUAUAAGCAUCUAUACAUUUAACAGACAAGCACCUAUAUAUCCAUCACUUUCCAAAUGGCUAGGAACUUUAUUUAAGGACUGAAGUGACUAUGGAAUGCAAGUCUCCCUGCCCUAAUCUUGUUUAGGACAUUGCUACCAUACUUUCAAUCUUAUGGACUCAUUCAUAGAAUUAUUUUUAUAAUAUAAAGCCAAACUCAUGAAUCCCUGAGGGAGGAUUGAAAGAGGACGUUACAGGCUCUUUUAUAUGAAUAAAUCUUGCUCAUUUAUUUGUUAAUUAAUAUGUAGUUAUACAAAAUUGGCUUUUAGGGCACAACUCCAAUAUUGCCCCUAAAAUGGGUGGACUUGCUCUUAGGAUGGUAAAGGAGUUAACUUGCCCUUACUAUUCACUCUGAUUAGUACUUGCCCUUGUGCACUUCCAUGAAGGAAAUUUUGGGAAAAAAAUGUUCAUUUAAGCAACAUCUAUAGCAUGCAAUUAACAAUUAAAAGGUGGAAUCAUGCUUAUAUGCACUUAAAAACAAAACAUUAACCAUGAAAUUCAAAGCCUAGUAGAUUGGUGAACCAAGACUCAACUCAAAUCAAAGUGAGUUGAGAAAUUUAUACCUUUGUAGAUUCCUCUUUGCAUAAGCAAAGGCUAAUCACCCAAGGAGAAGGCCUUCAUUCCUUGCUUCUUAGAUCCAUGGAUUUGGAUGGAAGAAUAUGUUUCUCCAAGUUCUCAAAAUAGAGAACCUCUAAGUCUCCACACCAAGGUAAGAUGUGAAGAAGAGAUGAGUGACCUUGGAGGAGAAAGAUUACUAGCUAAUCCCUCCAAGGGGGCCGGCCUCUUCGAGAGAAAAGAGAGAGAUAUGUUCUCUCCAAUUCUCUAAAAGAAACCCUAAAUGAAUUUUGGCUAUAAAGUCAUAUUUAUACCUUUAUUCAUUGGAGUGGCAAACUUGUAAUUAGUCCAAAACCCACUCCUUUAACAAAAUGGCCGGCCAUAGGGUUUCAUUGGGCUUUUAAGGCCUUUGUGAAUUAUUUGUCAUGUGUCAUACAACUUAAGUCAAUGGGCUUGACGUUCGAAGCCCAUUGGGCCUUGAGGCCCAAAACUAUCCCGAGGUCUUUAACGAACUUAUUCGUUUGAUUAAUUAACAUAUUAAUUAAUCCUUGCCAUAAAUAAUUAAACCAUUUAAUUAUUCUUACUCAUCUCCAUUGUUUCUUCAAUCUCCACCUUAGACGGUGUACGAUCGAUCCAUUAGGUUCCUUUUAGCGAGGCAGGGGGUGGCGAUUAAAACCAUUUCAAAUCGAUUGUGAAUUGAAACUUACUUUCAAUUCUCCCUUUAGCGAUUAUACACGUUUAGGGCUUCCACAAACCAUGAGUGACACCUAGCAGCAUAUCAUGGUUACCCAAGCUAAUCAGAAGAGGUGGAGAACCUAUUCAGUUUAGGAUUACAAAUGCAAUACGGUCUUUCUCUAAUACAAUACUCUUGACCACAUUGUUUGGUUUGAUAGUUUAUUCAUGUCUACUAUCCAAUGUGAUUCGUGUGCUUAUAUGAUUACCUUGAAUGUGAUUUGGAACGACUUCCUAAAUCUCAUUCAUACUCUGGCCAGAGAUUCUUAAUCAUAUCAUAGAGUAUUCACCCCUAAACGGUUUGAAGGUUAGAGAUCCCUUGUUGCGCAUUCACUUGCCUCCAUGGCUAAGUGGCUUAACCCCGAUGAUGCCGUGGACACCCUCAUGAUGGAGUGACUUUGACAUAAUCAAAGAUCAAGGACUUAACCACAAGACAACUAUGAUGCCUCAGGUCAAAGGACUACUUUGCAUUAUCCCAACCAUGAGUUCUCAUGUGACAUGAGUAUGAGAACUCCUCGUUGAUCAUGUUCAGUGGACUCAUUCAUUAUUGAGCACCUACAUGCUUGUCUUGAUGUCACACACACUAAUGACUUGAGACUAGUCACUCUCCCUGAGAGAAGACACAACACAUACUGAUCUUAACGGACUGUCAAUGCCCAAUUGGCAAUCCUAUGAUCAGGAACGUUUAGGAUGUGUCUACGAAAGAAUGGUCUCAUGAAUCUAACUUCUUUAGAGAUCGCAUUCUCCCAAUCACAUAUUCCUUGUACUUAUCGUUUAAGCGUAUAACAUUUAUAUGAGACGGCUCAAACAAUAAUCUUUGCCCUUGAUAUUAAACUAGAUUAGUUUAACAUGUGAAAUGUCCGUAAAGUAUCAUCAUAUGAUUGGUUUUAGGGCACAUUUCCAACAAUCUCCCACUUGCAGUAGAGCCAAUCAGCUUGGUCAUCAGUGAUGAUACCUCUUAUGUAGUCAUUUCAUAAAUGGCUGAGUAGUAGGCCUAGACAAUGGAUAUCUAUAUGUUAUCCAUAGAAGCAACCUUGAGAAUAACGACGUCACCAUUAUACAUGAUUCUCAAUCAUGUGGUUCAGUCUCUCAUUUGAGUUCGGAUCGUGAUGAGACCUUGAUUCCCUGGCUUGAGUUAUCGCCCCAUUAGUGUCAGACACUUUUUGGUUGGAACUAAAUAGAGAGUUCAUAAAUGAACUUUCCCAUCCAAACAACAUUGUUGUAAACUUCUAUAUGGCAAUAUAUUUUGCAUUUAUAAUGGAACACACUAAAGUCAUUACUUUUAAUGUUUCCAUCCAAAUAUCUCUUUAGUCAGAAUAAAAAGAUAUCUGAUUAUCUCUUCAUUCAUAAUGAAGAAAUAUCCAAUGAUGGAUUAGAUUCAUAAUCUAAUACAUUUACGCUUCCUUUACGUUACUCUAAUUCUUCCUCAUUCUUUGAGGAAUGUAUCCUUUAGUAUUUCUUAAAUACUUAAGGACUCACUUGACAAUUGCCAUGGUUCUGAUCCUGGGCUUGCACUGAUAUCGUCUUGUACCUUUCUAGGUACAACUCAUAUCAAUGUUUUUCAUACAAUAUGAAAUACAUAUAUCUCCUCUCUGCGUAUGCAUAAAGGAUUCUAUUUACGCAUUAUUUCUUUGGGAGUCAAAGGGUACGUUCCCUUUGAGAAGGGCAACUUGCUAGUCUCACUAGAGUCGUCCUUCUAAUUGAAGUUUAUCAUCAUAUGAGAAACUUCCUAGCAUCUCUUGUCUAUUAUUAGGGCUUCAUAUAAUCCAAUUAUAUCCUAAAAUCUAUCAAUAUAUAGAUUUCCAUCCCAUGUAUAUAGAUUAUGUCUCCCAUAUACAUUCUAUCUUCAUAUAAUGUUUUAAAGUCAUAACUUUAACGAAGAAGUAUUCUUUUCAUUUCCAAAAUCAAUAUAUCAUAUAUUUGUGUAUAUAUAUAUAUAUAUAUAUUCAAAUUUAGGAACAUGAUUAACUCCCACUAAUCUUUUGUAAACCUAGUAAACAAAAGAUUCAUUUACAUCUUUAUGAGAAAUCAAACGUUUUGAUCUUUCUCUCAUAAGACAUUUACAGCUCCCACUAGCUUGCUAAGAUCCAUGAUGAUUGGAUCUCUACAACUUACAUGUCUUGUGAUUCAUAGUUUUAGACAUAUAUUAUCAAGACUAUCUUAAUAAUGGUUUCGGAAACCCAUAUUAUGUCCAAACAUUGAAUCACCAUUUAGUUGUAGUUAGCAAUCUUCGAAUUAAUUGAAAACAAGACUAGGUCAAAGAUGGUUUCUUCAAAGUCAACCAUUCUCUUUGAUUGUAGUCACCUUAAGCUACCAAUUAGCUAUUUAAGGUUUCAUUAUUUUGGGUCAAAUGGUACUUUACCAUUUCCUUGAGUAUAUAUCGUAUAUACACUCAAUGUAGUCAUAAUGAUUUUCAUUCUUAUUUCUUUCGAAUUAAGAGGUGUAACUCUAUGACAUAGUCAUAAAGUUCAAACCAUUCAACUGAGACAGUUUAUAAAUCCUUCUCGACUACCUUGGAGCUUGUGGUAUAGGAACUAGGUUGUUAUAUUUGUUGAUCACUAUCUUGUUUCUUAAAGAACCAUUCUUUGAGUUCUAUCCCUCGUUCAUUUGCUCUAUCUUGGGCAAAUCCUAGUGUAGGAUUACAAUGAACUACCCAACAAACAACAUUUGUUAGUUGGUUUAUAGAAGUGAUAUCCAAAUGUUAAUUUAAGGAUAUCCACAAGAUAAUUCUCAAACAAAUAUUGCUUAUUAGCACACAACCCUAAAUCUUAACAUGAUUAAGAUUUGUCUUUCUUUCCAACUACAUCUUAUGGAGUCAUGAAAAUUUUGGAAGAUCAUCUAAUUGACAAUCAUAUUGUCUUAGAAGCAUAUAUCCUAUAUAUGGGUAAUUGAUAACAUCCAACGAACUAAAUCUUAUUUGAGUUCGUUCUUCUCCUAAUGGAGAAAUCCAUUAUCUUUUGAUGCUUCUUUCCUUGAUAUUUUUCAAGGAAACUGUUCUAAAGUGUUAUCUUUCCUUGGAUCAAAUCUAAGGAGGCAAAUACUUUAGACGUCUUACUCAUCAACUUACAUUUCUUGAAUUCUUUGAAACCUUUUGCAAAGUAUUCGGACAUGUGUUUAUUCAAAAUAAACUAUAGUCCAACCGAGAGUGAUCUUCAGUGAAUGUCAUACAACAUGAGUAGUAUUAUGUUGUGGACAAGUGCCACUAACAUCUAAGUGAAUUAACCUCAACAACUUUGUGAUUCUUUCUUCUUUCCAAAAGAAUAAAGAUUCGAACAUUUCGCCUCCAUACAAUUUUAAUAAGAAGGUAUUGGAUCCGGAUCUAACGAUCUAAAGCAUCCAUCUUUGACCAACUCGUAAUUUAUGUUUUAGAGGUAUCACAACUUUAGUUGGGAUUAGUCACUACCUUGCAACCUUUUGGGUUUUAAGCAUCGUUAUAUUCUAAACAGUUAACACUACCAUAUCAUCUCUACUAUAGAGACAAUUAAUUAGAUUACUAUAAUCCAAUCAUUGAUUAAAGAACAAUGUUUUGUCAAACAAAACAUUCAUCCAUCUCUACUAUAGUGACGGAAUUAAGUUCCUUAAAAUUGGAAUGUAAAGACAAUCUUUGGUUUUUUUAAUUUCUUUGGUAGUUCAUAUGAGGAAGUAAGUACUAUCUGCUUUCGCAGAGAUCUAUAUUUUAUUCACGUUCCGAAUGUGAAGCACAUUUUUCUUCUCCCAUAUAUCUUCUACUUCUUAUUAGUCACACUUUUACAACGAUUGUAAAACAUAGUUACUAAUACGGAAUCAAGCAUUCAAGUAGAAGAACCAACUAUUUUGAACUAUUCAAGAACAAUCUACAACACCUUCGAAAGGUGUGUUCUUGACACUUGCAAGACAUUUCUUGCAAAUACCCCUUCCAAUGUCCAUCCUUUCAUAAAGAAAGUUUGUUCCCUUGGAGUUAAUUUUUAUUCUUCUUUAUUUGACUUCUCCAUUUGACUACAAUAGUCAUGGUCCCUAAACUCCCACUAUCUCUCUUGAAACUUAUUUCAAUUGUGUUAUACACAUCAAACAUUUUGGAGAGCAUGUGUUUAUUGUUCACUACAUAGUUUACAAUAAACUUAGUGAACCAUUAGGAUAGGGACAUAAAGGUGAAGUCCUAGCCUAGUUUCUGUCUCGUUAAGUGGUUUAACACUUCAACACUCAAUGAUUCAAAAUCAUCAUAAGUCCAUGUUGAUGGACUAUUUUUGUCAACCAACCAUUAUGUUCUAAACAUAAUUACAAACUUUCAAGAGUUGUCCAAGGCAACUCUCAUUUCUUCAUACAACAAUUUGUAAGUGAAGAAUCAUGGCACAUAAGUGUCCAUGCCCUUGUGCUUUCUUCUCAAGUUCUUUGUUCAUUUAACAAAGAAACAAGCACUAGUGUUUGCAUUGACUAAGGGUUGUUCAAAGCAACUCUUAUUUCUUCAUACAACAAUUUGUAAUUGAAGAAUUAUGACAUUAAAAGUGUUAUCCUCUUUAUGAUAGACUUUUUCUAACAUAUUCUUCUAAUGAUACAUUAUCAAUAGGAAGAUUGUGAGGAUGAGACUACUUAGGUACAUUUAGAAGCCAUUAAAGACAAUCUAUGGUUUUGUAGUACCAAGUCCGGAAACUAAAGCUUUCGGCUUUUAUUUGUCAAGUGUUGGAUAGCGUUUGCAAACAUAUUGGUAAAUAAAUACAUAACGAAUAUAAAUCGAUUGAUUUUAAGCCAUUUGAUCCGGGGCUUUAAAUCAAAUAGCACCACCCACUAUUUUUUGGCAAAUUCCAUAUCCCUCAUUGGAAUUCGAGAGUUUUGGAGGAAACUCUUAGUAGGGUAUGGGAGACUCACUACUACCAAGCCCACCUCACAAUGAUAUGAUGUUGGCUAGCAUUAAUAAUAAUGAGAGAGUACGCUUACUCAUUUGCAUCUCUUGCAAGUACCCAUCUUAUUUGGCUUCUAGAGAAUGUCACCUCACAAUGAUAUGAUGUUGGCUCCAUUGCACUUAGAAAGUCAUUCCCACCAUGCAAGUUCGGGUAGGGGUUCAAGAACAACCUCACAAUGAUAUGAUGUUGAUCAUUCUCGUUGCCUACGCUUCACAACAUCAAGUAUGCAUAUAGACUCCUCCUGAGUGUAAGCACGCACUUUGUACUCCCCCAUGAUAGGGUGAAGCCGGUGUACGAGUCACAAACGAUCGGAGCCUACCACAGUGGAAGGCCACGAAAGAGUGUUCAAAGCACUCUCACGCUUCUCAACUUAAUAAUGGUUUGGUUGAGGGUUUUUAGGUCUCAUCACAUAUAAAUAUUCAUUUUAAUCUUUAUUAAAACAAUUUUGGUCCUAUUACAACUAUUGGUCCAUUUGAUUGUUUUAGUUGUAUAUAAUACUCCCACUAUGCUUAUAAAACGGUUUUUAAAGCAAGAGUAUAUGAUACUACUAACAUAAACUUUGCAUUCAUUUGAUGGACUAUAUAGUUGCCUUAGGGCCUUAGGAUGACUAUGAACCUUUGUUUAGAUUCAACACGAGCCUAGUGUUGAAUCUCGGUCUAGGGAUGGUGAUUGAUUUUAGUUACGCGUUUAAUCACAUUAAGGCGUGUUGUCUUAGGGGCGUUGGACCCUCUACUCCAUUUUCAUGCAUAUCAAAUAAAACAAGAAAGGAGUACUUCAAAGUAAAGAUGAGCUUAUGCUCUUUACAACAUUUGAAUAAAACAAAUUACUUUAAAGUAAAGUAGAGCUUAUGCUCUUUUACAACAUUUGAUCAAAUCAAAUUACAACCAAAAUCUAAUCUACACAUUCCCAUGGUUCAAACAAAUUUGAAACGGCCUUUCACAUAGCUCAAUUAUCGUAGGCUUAGGUUCAUAAUCACCCUUUAAUUAAUUAACGCUUUAACUAAUUAAACUUGAAUGCAACAUUUUCAUUUGGUUUUUGUAUCCAUAAAAUUGAUUUAAAUGGAGCUAAAUGAAAUGAAAAUCCAAUUCUCAUUUAAAGAGACAAAACAAUUUUGUUCUCAACCUAAUUUGGGCCAAAAUGCAAUUACCACAACUUUUGGGCUAUAUUGCAAAACUUAAACUUUUGAGCUCAUUUUGUAAAAACACAAAAGUCCACUACUUCAUGUAAUCACAACUAGAACCCAAAAAUAUCAUCAAAUGCAAAAACUUCAUUAAAGGAGCAAAACAAUUUGACCUUUAGCGUUUUUGGGCCUUUACGUAAAAACGUAAACUUUUGGGUCAAACUUGCAAAUACACAAAAGUACCAAAACUUUAUGUAAUUGCAUAAAAGCCCUAAAAGCACCCCACUUGUAGGGUGGCCGGUUUUAGAGAGAGAAGGGAGUGAUGUGUGUGUUGAUUUGUAGUUUUAGACAUAAAGCAUGCAAGUGGUGCAUGACAUAAAUGUCAUGCAAGUGGUGUGUGUGAAAGGGAAUUAAUCCUUACACACCCACCAAUAUUUCUUACACCUUUCUAAAUAAAUAUCUAACACAUUUAAACAUUUGAAAAAAUAUAAAACAUAAACUUUAUGAAAUAAAUUAAAACUUUGAAUCAAAACACCAAACUUUUUGUUCUUGGCAAAAAUGUCAAGAACAAUGAAGAACACUCAUGAAAAACUCAAAAAAUUUCCAUGAACAUUUUUCACCCAAAAACAUCCCAAAACCAUUCAAACUUACGGGAAAUAACAUAUAACCAAACUAGGGUACAUAGGGGUUCCAAAAGUUACUUGAAAACACUUUUAACAAGUCAAACAAGAACCCAAAAAAACACCCUUUGGAUUUGGCCGAAAAUUCCCAAAAACAUGGCACCAAAUUUUAGCUCCAAUAUUCAUGCUCAUAUGAACUACAUCUACAACAUUUGAGAUGGCAAAUUUUCCAACAAAAUUUACAUUCAAAGAAACAAGAAUAAAGCUUGUAACAUAUUACAACAUUUAAAUCAAAAACUAUGAACUACAAAACCCAAAAGGAUUCACCAACUACUAGACCUAGGCUCUGAUACCACUUGAAGGAAAUUUUGGGAAAAACAUGUUCAUUUAAGCAACAUCUAUAGCAUGCAAUUAACAAUUAAAAGGCGGAAUCAUGCUUGUAUGCACUUAAAAAACAAAACAUUAACCAUGAAAUUCAAAGCCUAGUAGAUUGGUGAACCAAGACUCAACUCAAAUCAAAGUGAGUUGAGAAAUUUAUACCUUUGUAGAUUCCUCUUUGCAUAAGCAAAGGCUAAUCACCCAAGGAGAGGGCCUUCAUUCCUUGCUUCUUAGAUCCAUGGAUUUGGAUGGAAGAAUAUGUUUCUCCAAGUUCUCAAAAUAGAGAGAACCUCUAAGUCUCCACACCAAGGUAAGAUGUGAAGAAGAGAUGAGUGACCUUGGAGGAGAAAGAUUACUAGCUAAUCCCUCCAAGGGGGCCGGCCUCUUAGAGAGAAAAGAGAGAGAUAUGUUCUCUCCAAUUCUCUAAAAGAAACCCUAAAUGAAUUUUGGCUAUAAAGUCAUAUUUAUACCUUUAUUCAUUGGAGUGGCAAACUUGUAAUUAAGUCCAAAACCCACUCCUUUAACAAAAUGGCCGGCCAUAGGAUUUCAUUGGGCUUUUAAGGCCUUUGUGAAUUAUUUGUCAUUAAGUUGUCAUACAACUUAAGUCAAUGGGCUUGACGUUCGAAGCCUAUUGGGCCUUGAGGCCCAAAACUAUCCCAAGGUCUUUAACGAACUUAUUCGUUUGAUUAAUUAACAUAUUAAUUAAUCAUUGCCAUAAAUAAUUAAACCGUUUAAUUAUUCUUACUCAUCUCCAUUUUUUCUUCAAUCUCCACCUUACAUGGUGUACGAUCCAUUAGGUUCCUUUUAGCGAGGCAGUAGGCGAUUAAAACCAUUUCAAAUCGAUUGUGAAUUGAAACUUACUUUCAAUUCUCCCUUUAGCGAUUAUACACGUUUAGGGCUUCCACAAACCAUGAGUGACACCUAGCAGCAUAUCAUGGUUACCCAAGCUAAUUAGAAGAGGUGGAGAACCUAUUCAGUUUAGGAUUACAAAUGCAAUACGGUCUUUCUCUAAUAUAAUACUCUUGACCACAUUGUUUGGUUUGAUAGUUUAUUCAUGUCUACUAUCCAAUGUGAUUCGUGUGCUAAUAUGAUUACCUUGAAUUUGAUUUGGAACGACUUCCUAAAUCUCAUUCAUACUCUGGCCAGAGAUUCUUAAUCAUAUCAUAGAGUAUUCUCCCCCAAACGGUUUGAAGGUUAGAGAUCCCUUGUUGCGCAUUCACUUGCCUCCAUGGCUAAGUGGCUUAACCCCGACGAUGCCGUGGACACCUUCCUGAUGGAGUGACUUUGACAUAAUCAAAGAUCAAGGACUUAACCACAAGAAAACUAUGAUGCCUCAGGUCAAAUGACUACUUUGCAUUAUCCCAACCAUGAGUUCUCAUGUGACAUGAGUAUGAGAACUCCUCGUUGAUUGUGUUCAGUGGACUCAUUCAUUAUUGAGCACCUACAUGCUUGUCUUGAUGUCACACACACCAAUGACUCGAGACUAGUCACUCUCCCUGAGAGAAGACAUAGCACGUACUGAUCUUAAUGGACUGUCAAUGCCCAAUUGGCAAUCCUAUGAGGAACGUUUAGGAUGUGUCUACGAAAGAAUGGUCUCAUGAAUCUAACUUCUUUAGAUCGCAUUCUCCCAAUCACAUAUUCCUUGGACUUAUCGUUUAAGCGUAUAACAUUUAUAUGAGACGGCUCAAACAAUAAUCUUUGCCCUUGAUAUUAAACUAGAUUAGUUUAACAUGUGAAAUGUCCGUAAAGUAUCAUCAUAUGAUUGGUUUUAGGGCACAUUUUCAACAUUCCACUCAUUGGGCAAGGGCACGGCGAUUUCCAUUCAAAAAUAUUUUAUUUUUAUUUUUUAGGUAGCUUUGUUGACCGUGUGUUUAAGUUUGUUUAAGUGUGAAACUUUGUAAGUUUGUUCUUUGAAAGUAAAAUGAUUCUCUAAUUUCAAUACUUUUUUCCAAAUACAAGGCAAAAGUAAAGCAUUACAACAAACAUAAUUAAUUAAAAAUUAAAUGUGAAUUCUAGCAUAACCAACUACGAUAUUGAAACAAUAUUAUUCUUAAUAGCCUACAACCUAGGAGAUAAAAUUAGUAGGGCUAGGUCCAUUGAUACAUCCCAACUUGGAAUGUUCACGUGUCCAUCCGAAUCGUGAUGUGGUAGCUGAUACCUGGAGGAUGACGAAGCCAUAAAGUAAGGUUGAUGUGUAAAAGUGAGAAUAAAUUUAAACUUUAAAUAAAUAAACCAAAGUGCACAACGUGAUUGGGUGGUAACCCUUAUUACAAAACGUGAAGUUCAAAGCAUAGUGCAAAAAGAUGAAAAUGGUCUCAUCCGUAAAGGAUGAUUAUUUAAUACAUAAGCAACCUACUUUGGCCGAAGAACAGUCAGCUACUUCCACUGAAACCUCGUACUCCCACGAGCUCAUUCUCUCCGUCCUGGAUGGGUGGAAAACAAGGUGAGUAGGCCUAGAAAAUAAAGUUUUAUGAAACCUUUUUGAAAACGUGUAACCCCUCGCUAUAAAACAAGUAUAUGAUUUCCCAAAGUAAUGAGUUAAGGGAUAUAGAGUUCUACUACAAAAUAUCACAUCAACAACUCAAAUCGCUAUCAUAAAAUCACAGUUAUGAAAAUCAUUAAAAAUCAUGGCUAUGAAAAUCACUGCUCAUUAUCUAAGUAAGUAGCUGCAUGAAUACUCUGGGUGUAGGUUUUAUGUUCUAGUAUUACAUCACGUGAAGUUGGCACUACGCGCAUCACAUACGAGUCUAAUCAACAAACCUAGGGACAUGUUGGCACCUAACACUGGAUCCAAAACGAACGUAAAUGGUACAUGUGAACAUACACGUGAAGCCCAAAACAAUACAACUAACUAAUAAACACCGUCAAAACAUGUCACAAUGAGCAGAUAUAAUAAAUAAAGAUGUCAUGCCACAUUUUUAUACUCACAGUUAGUAAAAACAUA
rnacentral:lncRNA from 1 species